UCAACAUCAGUUUAAUAAGAGCAAAAUGACUCCUCCAAUAACACUCUCCUCAUCUUAUAUUCAUACUUGGAUUCCUAUGUCUCCUAGUAAUUUAUGAGCCCAAAUCGUACAAUUUCUCUACUGUUUACAACCGACUAGGUUAUCAACCAAGCACAACACUCAGAAAAGUUCGACGGUUUCUACGUUGAUAAAGGGAAGUAUUCUAUGUUAUUCCAGUUUCAGAAGUAGUCGAAAUACCCUCUACCCCGCCCUGUCCCACUGCCCCAUCCCUCCUCCCCUUGUUUCCGUUCUCCUAAAAAUGAAGAGUAUGUUUUAGAAGUAGUUUAAAUUUCCCAUUACUCUUAACUAAUUUUUUUCAUACACAUAGAGCCCUCAGUUUAAAUUCAAAUCAAAUUGAUGCCUAUUUUCAAGCUUGUGUAAAAUUAAAUACUUAAACCAACAAAAUCACACGAAUCUUAAAUCAAAACAUAACAAAAAUGAUUGUUUACCUAAGAUAUAGUUAUAGACAUACGAGAAUUAAGGAAUAAACCUGGAAGCAGGUGAUGAAUACCUCCGGUUUAUCGACGUAGAAAUCGUUGAACUUUUCGAAUUCCUAGUUGAGAACCAGAUCUGCAGCUCGGCCAAAUGUGGUGGCGAUACCUUGCAUCACCCUCCGGCCGCGGGGAUUAUCUCCAUCUGGUAGGGUUUCUUCCGAAUAUAUUUUGAUUUCGUUUCAAAAUGAUGCCAUAUUUUGUUCAGUACAAUGCCUUGUAUCAUUCCUUCAUCAUUGAUCAAUUCUGUGCUUACUUUGGUUCAAAAAGAUCGAUUAAUUACUACAAUAAAAAUAUUAAUAAUUUAAAUUCUUUUUUUUUCCAAUCGAUAAUUGAAAAUUAUCAUUUCCCUCCGGGGGAAAACCUACCUCAUUUCCCCCAAUUUUCCCAUUCCAUUCCCUUCUUUGGCAGCAUAUAUUACAUCCGUUGUCUUGCCCAUCCUUUCCGUCAGACGGCCGGCCGCACUAUUAGAUUUCACAGUAAGCUUACUGGAGUCGUGAAGGGCAUUUCUGUUGCCAGCCAUUUAAAUUAGAACGAGGAAGAACAAGCUUUGCUAAAAUUUGAAAGCUAUUGAAGGUAUCUCUCUACAAAUGGUAAACUACUGGAGUCGUGAAGGGCAUUUCUGUUGGCAGCCAUAAAAAUUUGAACGAGGAAGCCACAAGCUUUGCUAAAAUUUGCCUGCUAUUGAAGGUAUCUCUCUGCAAAGUCUCGAUUUGUUUAAAGGCUUCGAGUAUGAUGAGGAGAGGCCCAAGUAUGGAAGGGCGCCUUAUGAUACUGAGGGUCAUGAAAGGCCUAGUUAUGGAAGGUCCGAGGAAGAUGACUAUAGGAAGACAAGCUAUACGAGGUGUGAUGAUGAUGACACCGACUAUGGCAGCAAAAAAUAUGUGAGUUUCUUUCUAGUUCUUGAUAUUCAUGAAUUAUAUGCAUAGACAACAUAAAGAACGUUAUUUCAUACAUUAUUCCUUAACAUUGUUAAUUGUUAUUCAAUUUUCUCAAUCAAAUGUAACAUCAAUGAUCACGGGUUUGGUUGACUAAUCCUAUGAUUUAAUUAGUUCCUAUCUUGAGCAUGACUGUUAAUUUUUGUUUCUAUUUAUAUGUAGUGAUAAUCGAAUUUGAACGUUCUUAAAGAAAUAUGUGCAGCCCACACAAUCAGAUUCUCACAUUUUGGCUUAUUUUUACUUGUUUAUUAAUCUUUGAUGGUGUGGAGUCGCAGAAUAGAUACUAGUUGAAUGAUCAAUUUUAACUUUUUUGUUUUAGUUUGAAUCUAUCAUUUAAAGAGAACAAUAAUCAAUUGUUAGAUUACGGUACAUCAUAAUUUUUCUGUCCUUUGCGAUCUCGAAUGACAAGGAAGUAAUGUUAAUUCUGAUGAGGACGAGGAUGAGGAGAAGAAGAAACGCCACAAGUCCCACCAUCACCACAAGAAGCACUAUGAUGAGUAAACAAAAAAAUCGUUCCUCGAUGAGCGGGCAAGAUGAAAUAAAAUAAGGAGUUAGGCAUUUUUUGUUUUAAAUGGUAUUCAUGUUGAGUUCUUUAGCAUAUUGGAUUGUAUCCAUAAUCAAUAAAAUAUAAUACUCUCUUCGUCUU